rnacentral:rRNA from 1 species
CCAAGCGUUAGGCGGAUUCACUGGGCUUAAAGGGUGCGUAGGCGGAUUGGCAAGCAUCUCGUGAAAUCCCUCGGCUCAACCGAGGAAUUGCGGGGUGAACUGCCUGUCUUGAGGAAGGCAGAGGCUGUCAGAACGUUCGGUGGAGCGGUGAAAUGCGUAGAUAUCGAACGGAACGCCGAAGGGGUAGCCAGGCAGCUGGGCCUUACCUGACGCUGAGGCACGAAAGCGUGGGGAUCAAACAGGAUUAGAUACCCUGGUAGUCCACGCCGUAAACGAUGUGCACUAGCUCGAUGCAGAUCUGACUCUGUGUCGGGCGCCGAGAAAUCAUUAAGUGCACCGCCUGGGGAGUACGGUCGCAAGGCUAAAGCUCAAAGGAAUUGACGGGGGCUCACACAAGCGGUGGAGCAUGUUGCUUAAUUCGAAGCAACGCGAAGAACCUUACCUGGGUUUGACAUGCACGGAUUAGUCAUUGGAAACAGUGAUGACGCUCUUCGAGUGGAACGUGCACAGGUGCUGCAUGGCUGUCGUCAGCUCGUGCUGUGAAGUGUCGGGUUAAGUCCCUUAACGAGCGCAACCCUUAUCGCUAGUUGCCAGCGCAUUAUGGCGGGGACUCUAGCGAGACUGCCGGUGUCAAACCGGAGGAAGGUGGGGAUGACGUCAAGUCCUCAUGGCCUUUAUGCCCAGGGUGGCAAACGUGCUACAAUGGCGUGUACAGAGCGACGCGAUACCGUGAGGUGGAGCAAAUCGCAAAAAGCACGCCCCAGUUCGGAUAGCAGUCUGCAACUCGACUGCUGAAGCCGGAAUCGCU